AGCGUAGGUGGCCUAACAUGUCAACUGUGAAAACCCGGAGCUCAACUCCGGACUUGCAGUUGAAACUGGUAGGCUUGAGGACGGUAGAGGAAGACGGAACUGCCAGUGUAGGGGUAAAAUCCUUAGAUAUUGGCAGGAACGCCGGUGACGAAGGUGGUUUUCUGGGCCGGUUCUGACACUGAUGCCCGAAAGCCAGGGGAGCGAACG
rnacentral:rRNA from 1 species